AAGUGGAAGAAAGAGAUAGACAGUGCAGUGAAAAGUGACGGUCUGAGGAGGUGGAAGCAUGUGAUGGAGCGAAAGAGUACUUUGGAGUGGUACAGGGAAAAAGAAGCCCCGCAGUGUGUCAGCUGGGAUGAUGGAAGCCUGUGGUGAUCUUCUCUUCCAAGCUCGAGCGCGCAGUGUAUGAGUGUGAAUGCAAGAAAUUACAGGUGUCUGAGUCCCGCAGCAAAGUGUGCCAGAUGUGUGACAGGGGUGUGGAUGAAACUGUCGCGCAUGUGAUACUGGUGUGUGGGAGGUACCGGAGAGAAAGGACGGAGAUGAUGAGGGUGGCACUGAGUGAGAUGGGCUGGGAUGUGAAUGGGAGGAUUGCAAGAACAGAGAGGGAAUGGAUGCUGCUGCUGCUGGGACUGAGUGGUGAAGCAAAUGAUAGAAUUAUAGAAGCCAUGAAGAGUUUUCUGGAAUAGAUGUGGUGUGCAAGAAAUAGGGAAUUGGAAGAUCUGUAAUGGAUACUGCUUGUGUUUUUUAUUUUUACAGGCUGUGCCGAUACGAAGGCCUGACUCCAACGGGUCACCUGUACAGCAAGAGCAAGAGCUCAAACGAACAGCUCAGCACCACCACCACCCCACAAGAAGAAAUAGACAACAGCAGAAGAAAAAGACCAUUACCACAGUGACAGUCUCCUUGCUCAGCGCUGACUCCCGGCCACGGCGAGCACUUCCCUUCAAUACCGUCACGGCGCCAUGGAGGAGGCUGCAGGGAAGGGCCGCACCAUGGGCGACAACCCUGAGGACUGUCCAGUGUGCCUGACAAACUUUGAUGACAUAGUGCAGCGGCCACGCAAUCUGCCUUGUGGCCACACUGUCUGCACACUGUGCAUAGAUAAGCUGAAGGAGCAGGGCCGUGUUACCUGUCCAGAGUGCCGCAUCAGCCAUGCUGUUCCAGAGGGAGGGCAGUUCCCUGUCAGUUAUAUUGCUGAGGCUUUGAUAAGAAUGAUGAGAGAUGCCAAGGUGGCAACAGCAGCCUUGUCACCACCCAGUGCUGGGAAAGGGAAAGAAGCAGCAGAAGCAGCUGACAAAAAGGAAGCGACGGGUUUCUCCAAGAAGAUGCGUUCCUUUCUGCAGGAACAGGAGGCCACAGUUGUGGCCGCCAUCACCGCCUGCCGGGAAGCUCGGUCGCAGCUGGACCAGUACCAGACAACCCUGACAGGCUGGGGCGAGAGGCAGCAGCACCUGGAGGACAGGCUCCAGGGACUGGUGGACCAGAGCAGGAGUGCCAGAGGGCUUGUGCAGCAGGAAAAGUCCCGCACGACAGCCAUGGAGGUGAAGGUGAAGGAGGUAGAGCAGGCACUGCAGGCCAUGCAGGAGACAUUGCACACCCUUAAAACAGAGCAAGAAGCAGGUGUUGUGGUGACUGAAGUGUUUCGUUGCACUGGUGAGGCAGAGCAGGUGGUGCAGGAGUGCCAAGAAUGUUUCCCUGAUGCCAGCACUGUCACUACCGCCAGGAAGGUGAGAGAGGCAUCUAGUGCAGCGCUGGAGGCUGCUCAGGCUGUCCAGGCGGCUCUGGAAACUCCUUCUUCUGUUACUUCAGAGGAGCCCAGGCCCCUGUCAAACCCAGCAGAGCCCAGGCCCCUGUCAGACCCAGCAGAGCUUAGUUCCCAGUCACACCCAGAGGAGCUCAGUUCCCAAUCAGGCUCAGAAGAGCCCAGGCCCCAGUCAGCCUCAGAAAAGCUCCAGGUCCAGUCAGACCCAGGCUCCACCAUCAUGGACAGAGUGAAACUCAUCUUGACGCUGAACUUGAAGGCCAAGGAUCUCCGCAGCCUGUCGCAGCCUGCCUUGAGCCUGAUGCAGGCUGGCCGGGUGUUUGCAGUCCACCAGGUGAAAGGUCAGCGCCGACUUGCAAGAAUAAGCCUUGAAGCCGGCCAGCUGUGCCUCCACACCCUGAAGGAGCAGCACCACUCACUAGAUGCAGCAACCCUGCAGGUCAGCCAGCUCGUCCCGCCUUCCCCCCCCUGCACGGUGUUCCUGGACCUGUCCUGGCCAGGCAGCUCACCACGGCGGGUACAAAUCCAUCUGAGCCCCGACACCCUGCGGGGCAGACAGAUUAUGAUGAUGUGCACGGGGCAGCGUGGCCCCUCCUACCUCAACACCAGGUUAAAUAAGGUGGAGGAUAAGGGGAAGCCGGGAGAGUGGGUGAUGGUCGGAGACUUAAAGAGACUACAAGAUGGUAAGGGGGCAUCCGUCCUGCCGCCUGACCUUGAUGAGGGUGAGUACUGGAAGUCAGGCCGGGCAGGGGCUGUGCAUGGGCUGGUUUGGAAGGACAGUACCCUGGGUGUGUGUGGUGCAUUUGGCAUCUGCACCAGGGACUGUCUGGGUGGUGAAGAGCCAAAUCUUGUCUUUGGUGAGGUGGUGGAUGGACUGCACGUAGUGGCCGAGGCAGCCCAACACAGCAGUAUUAUGGAGGUGACUGUGGUGGACUGUGGCAUGGUGUUGUGAGGGUAAUGGCCUGCACCACCACCACCACCACCACCACAGCAGCGUUAUGGAGGUGACUGUGGUGGACUGUGGCAUGGUGUUGUGAGGGUAAUGGCCUGCACCACCACCACCACCACCACCACCACAGCAGCAUUAUGGAGGUGACUGUGGUGGACUGUGGCAUGGUGUUGUGAGGGUAAUGGCUUGCACCACCACCACCACCACCACCACCACAGCAGCAUAAUGGAGGUGACUGUGGUGGACUGUGGCAUGGUGUUGUGAGGGUAAUGGCUUGCACCACCACCACCACCACCACCACCACAGCAGCAUUAUGGAGGUGACUGUGGUGGACUGUGGCAUGGUGUUGUGAGGGUAAUGGCUUGCACCACCACCACCACCACCACCACAGCAGCAUUAUUGAAGUGACUGUGGUGGACUGUGUCAUGGUGUUGUGAGGGUAAUGGCCUGCACCACCACAACAACAACAACAACAUUAUGGAGGUGACUGUGAUGGUUUUCUUAAUAUUCUGAGUCUUGUGACAUCCAAUGUAAUAUUGUGUGCACUACAUCAAUACCUGAUGUGAUGUGUUACUUAAUUUCUUGUUACAUUCUUGUAACAUCCAACAUAAUGUGUGCACUACUAGAAUACUUGAUGUGAUGUGUUACUUAAUUUCUUGUUACAUUCUUGUAACAUCCAACAUAAUGUGUGCACUACUAGAAUACUUGAUAUGAUGUGUUACUUAAUUUCUUGUUACACUGUUGUGACAUCCAACAUAAUAUUGUGUGCACUACAUCAGUACUUGAUAUGAUGUGUUACUUAAUUUCUUGUUACAUUCUUGUGACGUCCGGUGCAGUGUUUCAUCAUAUGUGCUGGCCUUCCCUUCACAUGUAUCUGCUUACUCCUGUUUGGUGAUUUCCACACUUAUAAUUCUGCCUUCCAGCUUGUGUGGCUGGCUAUUGAGGCAAACUUGUACAUAAACCACUAAGGGUCAACAUAGCAUUUAAGAGAAACUAGAAACAUAGCAAGCACUCUUGUGAUAAAUAUAUUCAAGUAAAUGUAAUGCACAUACUUUUUCUUCUUGUAAGUUGUCAUCUACUUGUAAGCUGCUGUUGAAUCAUUAUUGUAGCAAUCUGUAAAACACAAAAGAGGAAAGAACAAAGAAUCAUGAGAACCAAUUAUUUCAUGGUAAAAUAGAGUUUUAUUUCAGCAUAUUUCUUGAGGAGUUUGCCACCAGCUAUAGCUAAGUCACAUGGCCUAUUUGGUGAUGAGAGAGAGGAUUCUUCUGUUUUAUUUACUGUAUAUAGUUAUUGAGACAAAUAUAUGUCUACUGUUUCAUUCAUAUAGUCAUAGACAAAUAUUCACUUUGUUUGUGCUACCUUGGUCCAAAAUUAGUGAAGUACAGCUUUUUCUCAGUAAAAUAUGCACUUCGAUAAAAACUACCAUUGGAGUCUUCUAGUGAAAGCUGAAUAAAACAUUCUACAUUAAUGUAAU